UAUUCAAGGUCUUCCAGGCUCCUGUUUGCAGCAUCAGUUUUUAUCUGAGCAGGAGACUUCUCCAGCAGACCCACCCCACACCUGCUUUCAAGCUCUUGAAUUCCUGCCUGUCCUGUUCCAGAGUUCCUCCACAACAGAGCUGCAGUUUACCCAAGGCUCAACCAUGCUCCUGGCUCUCCUCCCAGUGCUGGGGAUAAACUUCCUCCUGAGAGAAGCCCAAGCUCAGUCAGUGACUCAGCCUGACGCCCAUGUCACUGUCCCUGAAGAAGUUUCUCUGCAGCUGAGAUGCAAGUAUUCCUCCCCUGGGGCACCUUAUCUGUUCUGGUAUGUCCAGUACCCACGGCAGGGGCUGGAGCUGCUCCUCAAGUACUAUUCAGGAAACCCCGUGGUUCAAGGAGUGAAUGGCUUUGAGGCUGAGUUCAACAAGAGCGACUCUUCCUUCCACCUGCGGAAAGCCUCUGUGCACUGGAGAGACUCGGCUGUAUACUUCUGUGCUCUGAGCAGGACAGGAGCUAGCACUGGAAAGCUGACGUUUGGACCAGGGACCAAGCUUAGGGUCCAUCCAAAUAUCCAGAACCCAGAACCUGCUGUGUACCAGCUGAGAGAUUCCCAAGACCCUGAGUCUCAGAACAGCACCCUCUGCCUGUUCACCGACUUCGAUUCCCAAGUCAAUGUGUUGAAAACCAAGGCAUCUGAAAUGUUCAUCUCUGACAAAACUGUGCUGGACUUGAAGGCUAUGGAUUCCAAGAGCAAUGGGGUCAUUGCCUGGAGCAACCAAACAGGCUUCACCUGCAAAGAUGCCUUCAAAGAGAACGCCUCCUACCCCAGUUCAGACGUUCCCUGUGAUGCCAAGUUGACCGAGAAAAGCUUUGAAACAGAUAUGAACCUAAACUUUCAAAACCUGUCAGUAAUGGGACUCCGAAUCCUCCUGCUGAAAGUGGCCGGAUUUAACCUGCUCAUGACGCUGAGGCUGUGGUCCAGCUGAGGUCGGCAAGAUUGAAAGAGCCUGACUCCCAGGCUCCUUCCUCCUCUCUCUUCAAGCCAAAAGGAGCCCUCCCACCUCAUAAAGAAGGCUGCCCCCAUUCACGAUCCCGCCAACUGGAUCUCCUAGAUUUGUAAGGAAGGUUGUCGGAGAGCUAACUGCUGCUUCACCCACUCAGCUCCCUCACUGCUGCUGACAGAAAAGGCAGGGGUGGGGCUUCUCCUGGAUCUGAAGACCCCCCCCAUGACAGAUUCCCCUGUAGAAUCUCUUGGAGAAUGUUGUAAAAAACAUGGGUUUGUUUUUUUGUGUGUGGGUUUUUUUUUUCUUUUUAAGCAUCCAUAAAGAAAUGCAUAUUACUCUUUCAUCAAGGUGUAGAAAUUAUCUCAUUGUCUAGACCCUCCCUGCUACUGUGUGUAUUGAGCCACAUUGUAUAUUAUUCUAUAGCCACAUGACUUCAUUAAAGGUGAUUCAGAAAAACCGAAA